rnacentral:rRNA from 1 species
GAUGAACGCUGACAGAAUGCUUAACACAUGCAAGUCAACUUGAACUUCGGUUUGGGUGGCGGACGGGUGAGUAACGCGUAAAGAACUUGCCUCACAGCUAGGGACAACAUUUGGAAACGAAUGCUAAUACCUGAUAUUAUGAUUUUAGGGCAUCCUAGAAUUAUGAAAGCUGUAUGCGCUGUGAGAGAGCUUUGCGUCCCAUUAGCUAGUUGGAGAGGUAACGGCUCACCAAGGCGAUGAUGGGUAGCCGGCCUGAGAGGGUGAACGGCCACAAGGGGACUGAGACACGGCCCUUACUCCUACGGGAGGCAGCAGUGGGGAAUAUUGGACAAUGGACCAAGAGUCUGAUCCAGCAAUUCUGUGUGCACGAUAAAGUUUUUCGGAAUGUAAAGUGCUUUCAGUUGGGAAGAAAAAAAUGACGGUACCAACAGAAGAAGUGACGGCUAAAUACGUG